CAGUCGCCACGGUAAUACGAAGGGUGCAAGCGUUACUCGGAAUUACUGGGCGUAAAGCGUGCGUAGGUGGUGGUUUAAGUCCGUUGUGAAAGCCCUGGGCUCAACCUGGGAAUUGCAGUGGAUACUGGGUCACUAGAGUGUGGUAGAGGAUAGUGGAAUUUCCGGUGUAGCAGUGAAAUGCGUAGAGAUCGGAAGGAACAUCUGUGGCGAAGGCGACUAUCUGGGCCAACACUGACACUGAGGCACGAAAGCGUGGGGAGCAAACAGGAUUAGAUACCCCCGUAGUCCCUGUCUCUUUACA
rnacentral:rRNA from 1 species